AUCAACAAACAUUGGCUAUGUCCGAAUGUCCACCCUACUCCCUACAAAGUGCCCUACAUAGGGGCCACGCCAUUUUGUAGGCGUGUCUGAAUGUCCACAGAGAAAAAAGUAGGGCACUUAAAAUUACCCACAACGCAUCUUGAAAAGUAGUGAGCAUAAUUGGUUACUAGACGGUCAAUAUAGACCAAAAUGUAUUGCAGGCA